rnacentral:rRNA from 1 species
GACGAACGCUGGCGGCGUGCUUAACACAUGCAAGUCGAGCGGUAAGGCCUUUCGGGGUACACGAGCGGCGAACGGGUGAGUAACACGUGGGUGAUCUGCCCUGCACUUCGGGAUAAGCCUGGGAAACUGGGUCUAAUACCGGAUAUGACCUCCUAUCGCAUGGUGGGUGGUGGCAAGAUUUAUCGGUGCAGGAUGGGCCCGCGGCCUAUCAGCUUGUUGGUGGGGUAAUGGCCUACCAAGGCGACGACGGGUAGCCGACCUGAGAGGGUGACCGGCCACACUGGGACUGAGACACGGCCCAGACUCCUACGGGAGGCAGCAGUGGGGAAUAUUGCACAAUGGGCGAAAGCCUGAUGCAGCGACGCCGCGUGAGGGAUGACGGCCUUCGGGUUGUAAACCUCUUUCAGCAGGGACGAAGCGCAAGUGACGGUACCUGCAGAAGAAGCACCGGCUAACUACGUG